rnacentral:rRNA from 1 species
UACGUAGGGCGCAAGCGUUGUCCGGAAUUAUUGGGCGUAAAGAGCUCGUAGGCGGUUUGUCGCGUCUGCUGUGAAAUCCCGAGGCUCAACCUCGGGCUUGCAGUGGGUACGGGCAGACUAGAGUGCGGUAGGGGAGACUGGAAUUCCUGGUGUAGCGGUGGAAUGCGCAGAUAUCAGGAGGAACACCGAGUGGCGAAGGCAGGUCUCUGGGCCGCAACUGA